AUUGAACGCUGGCGGAAUGCUUUACACAUGCAAGUCGAACGGCAGCACGGACUUCGGUCUGGUGGCGAGUGGCGAACGGGUGAGUAAUGUAUCGGAACGUGCCCAGUCGUGGGGGAUAACGUAGUAAAAAUUACGCUAAUACCGCAUACGAUCUAUGGAUGAAAGCGGGGGAUCGCAAGACCUCGCGCGAUUGGAGCGGCCGAUAUCAGAUUAGGUAGUUGGUGGGGUAAAGGCCCACCAAGCCAACGAUCUGUAGCUGGUCUGAGAGGACGACCAGCCAAACUGGAACUGAGACACGGUCCAGACUCCUACGGGAGGCAGCAGUGGGGAAGUUUGGACAAUGGGCGAAAGCCUGAUCCAGCCAUUCCGCGUGCAGGAUGAAGGCCCUCGGGUUGUAAACUGCUUUUGUACAGAACGAAAGGGUUUCUACUAAUACUAGGAGCUCAUGACGGUACUGUAAGAAUAAGCACCGGCUAACUACGUGCCAGCAGCCGCAGUAA
rnacentral:rRNA from 1 species